CUUUAAAAUCAAAAGCAAUGAGAGUCAAGAAUUUAGGAGCAGUAUGGCUGAGUGGUUCCAACUUGAGGUUCCCCAUGAAAUUGCAGGCAGAGAGAGACGGAGAAGCAGGCUCCCUGCCGAGCAGAG